CACAUACCAAAUUUCAUAGUCAUACAAUUUGUAUAAAAAAAAUUAAAAAUAAAAUACUUCGAGACGUCGGAUCUAAGAUCAAACGUUGAGUGGCUCUUGACCAAAAUUGGAUGGCUGGAUGGUAGGGAAAGCAUAGACCUUCUAUGCUACAGGGGAGGUGUAGAAACUUUUCCCUCUUAUAAAUUAGAGCUCUUAUUCACAUCUUCGAUAAGCUCAAUAAUAAAUCUUUUCUAGGAGCUUAAUGCCCAAAUAUAUAAAAAUAUAAUUUCUCACAGGGAAUCAGAGUCAAAUAUUUUUUCGGCAAUGUAAUAUGAACUAGUUUUCUUUUUCAACAAAGUAUUUUCCGACAUAAGACCCUUCACAGAAUUUUCAGAUCUGGGUGGGUUGUUGUUGCAAAAAAAAAAAUUUGGUGCAAUCAGAUCUGGUAUUUUUUUCUAUCUACAUUCUAUAUUCGGUCAGUUGGAUCAUCAAAUUCUAGUAUGUUGGUAUUUUCUCUAACAAGCUUUUUGCCUUUCUCUCUUAGCUCCGUAAAACAAACUGCAAAGUUGUUUCUUCCUUGCACCGUCUGACAAACGUUUUUUUUUGUUUGCAUCGCGUCUACUUGAAACUUGACCUGUUUGAGUUUCUGUCAUUGCCCUUUUGAAACUUAACUUGAAAACACCCUUAAAAAAUAAUCUUAUGUUGAUGACCAAAUUUUCUGUUACUCGGUCAUGUCUAUUCUAGUCUACGACCGACUGAAUCUGUAUUGGAUCCACACCGACUUCUGUUGGCUCUUCUAUAUGCAAUUAUGUUUUC
rnacentral:lncRNA from 1 species